rnacentral:lncRNA from 1 species
UGCUUUCAUCUAACAUAGUGUAAAAUAAUGAACUUGCAUCUUGAGCCCAUGCCAAGCUAACACCGCUGAAAUUAUACUUUAGGAUCUAUUAAUCUACUUUAGAAGUCUUUCAGACAAAGCAUAAACAGUUCACCACAUGAAAUUUCAACCGUGUAAGCAAGCGAGUUGUGACCAAGAAAAACUUUAAAUGUCCCUCUUUCUCAGACUAAGCAUAUGCAGUGAACUGUACCCAAAAAACAACUCAUCCAGUCAAGAUAUCUCUAAAAUCAUAAAAGGAAACAAACUAAAUAAUAAAUAUAUAAAAGAAGGAAAAUAAAUUCACAACAGGGAUUAAAGUAAGGGUUUGGACAUUGGAGCAUUCAUCUUGAGAAGAUGGCAUAAUUGGUUUCUUUUAGCCAGUUAACGGACCUGAAGGCAACAAAACUACAGGAAGAGGGGUAUAGUGUAUCAAUGUAUCAACAGUAGAGAUAAUUGAUCUCCCUUCCUUUGUAGUGUUGUUAAUAGAUGUCUCCAUGUCUCUGGCCAAUAAGGAUUCAACCUUAG